rnacentral:tRNA from 1 species
GCGGCGUUCGCCUAGUGGUUAAGGCUCCAGAUUGUGGAUCUGGCCACAGCAGUUCGACUCUGCUACGCCGCC